AUCCUUAUUUGAUUCAGAAGUGUGACUGGGUUUCACACCACUGUGAAAUGUGAUGGUCUCAAGCUUUGUUGCAAUUCCAGCACACUAACUGUGUGAUG
rnacentral:snoRNA from 1 species